rnacentral:rRNA from 1 species
AACGAACGCUGGCGGCAUGCCUAACACAUGCAAGUCGAACGAGACCUUCGGGUCUGGUGGCGCACGGGUGGGUAACGCGUGGGAACCUGCCCUUAGGUUUGGAAUAACUCGCCGAAAGGGGUGCUAAUACCGGCUAUUGUCUUCGGUCCAAAGAUUGAUCGCGUUUGGAUGGGCCUGCGUGGGAUUGGCUAGUUGGUAGGGUAAAAGGCUCCCAAGGGGAGGAGCCAUAACUGGUCUGAGAGGAUGAGCAGCCACACUGGUACUGAGACACGGCCCAGACUCUUACGGGAGGCAGCAGUGGGGAAUAUUGGAAAGCGGGCGGAAGCCUGAACCAGCUAGGACGCGUGAGUGAUGAAGGUCUUAGGGUUGUAAAGCUCUUUUAUCCGGGAUGAUAAUGACGGUACCGGGAGAAUAAGCUCCGGCUAACUCCGUG